GCUCAGCUGGUAGAGCAUCUGAUUUGUAAUCAGAGGGUCAGGGGUUCAAAUCCCUUCGCCA
rnacentral:tRNA from 1 species